CUCUUUCCCCUCAGCUCUUGCUCCAGUGGCAAGAUGUGAUCCACCAGCUAGGAGGGACGCCAAUAAGGCGUCCGAUAAGAGAAAAUCAAAAGCUGUUGAUUCCUUCCAGACUAAUAUGGUUUGAUCAAGCAAGACCCCCUAAAGCUGAGAUGAUACAGCCUUACAGACUACAAAAACAAGGACUUGGUCAGGUUUCUAUGUUUUAUCAUGAUCCUAAUGGUAUAUAAACAUCGCCCCCAAUCAGCAGGAAACAGUUUAGAAAGAACGACGCCCAUAUUCCCAAGUAUUGUUUAUAAAUGUUUGUUUUCAUUUAAAUGGGGUUGGUUAUAAAUGAUAAAAAAAGGAAAUAGGAUAUAGGAAUAAAUACUUUAAAUUGGUAAAGAUUUUCAUUUAUUGAUACAACUUUAAGGUCAGUUUUGUGAUAAUGUAUGUCUACUCUUGUUUAGGUAUUGUGUUUAUACAGAUCUUUUACCUAUAAUAGUCAGAACUUAUAAUUAGGUUAGUUAGGUUUUCUAGAUAUAGAGAUGUAUUUGAGAUGGUUAGGUAUUCUUCAAACCUUUCAAAGACCUACAGAAAUAUGGCAUUUAAAUGGUUUAGGGUUUUUCUUGGCAGUGAGACACAACUGCUCCUGGCACACCAAUUAUGUCAGAAAGGAGGAUGGGCAUCGAAGAAACUCGUUAUGGAGUUUGCUUUCAACAUGGCAAGACUAGCCAUUUGGGCAAGAAACUGCUCUUGCCUGGACUGUUUGUUGCUGUAUAAAUUGGACAUGCAGGACCCACAAGAAAAUGACUGCUAAACUUACAAAACUAAAGGGUUCCUGUUAAAAUGGAGGAGUGUGUUAGACAUACUGUGGCCUAUAGGCUGAAGAUGGAUGCCCCAACAUUUACAGAGGAACUUUGGGUGACUGCCCAGGUAGCAAGAUGUCCUGUCAAUUCAAGAGUUUAUAUAUUAUCCUUCUGUGGUCUUUGAUAGAGUUAAAGACAGAUAGUUAUGGUUAUAGUUUUCUUCAGUUAUUAUAAAAAAUAAGUUACCCUUCUUUUUAUUUAGACAGAAAAGAGGAGAUGAUGGGGGAAAUACUUCUGUGUAUGUUUAUAAAUAAAGUACUUGCUUGGCCAAUGAGACAGCAGGUUAGGCUGGACUAGGAGUCAAAGAGGAUUCUGGGAAAUGUAGUAGAGAAGUGGUGUUCCAGACAGGAAGUGACAUAGCAAGGAGACUCAUAUUUAAGAAGAGGAAAAAGGAAGUGUUGCUCUCUUUCCCCUCGGCUCCUGCUCCAGCGGCAAGAUGUGAUCCACCAGCUAGGAGGGACGCCAAUAAGGCGUCCGAUAAGAUAAGUCUUAUAAAAUAUAUAGAUGUAUGAUGAUUGAUACUGAGCUAACAGAUGAGAAUCCUAGUCAUUGGCCAAGCAGCAUUGUAACUAAUACAAGUCUCUCUGUGUAUUCAUUUGGGCCUAACUUGGACAGGCGGCUGCCAUAAAGCUUACACGUGGCGGUGGGGCUCAGCGGCUUUUGGCAGAAAGAUUUAUCGUAAC
rnacentral:lncRNA from 1 species